CUUGCUUGGCGCAGCCUACCAUGCAGUCGAGCGGAACGAGUUAUCUGAACCUUCGGGGAACGAUAACGGCGUCGAGCGGCGGACGGGUGAGUAAUGCCUAGGAAAUUGCCCUGAUGUGGGGGAUAACCAUUGGAAACGAUGGCUAAUACCGCAUGAUGCCUACGGGCCAAAGAGGGGGACCUUCGGGCCUCUCGCGUCAGGAUAUGCCUAGGUGGGAUUAGCUAGUUGGUGAGGUAAGGGCUCACCAAGGCGACGAUCCCUAGCUGGUCUGAGAGGAUGAUCAGCCACACUGGAACUGAGACACGGUCCAGACUCCUACGGGAGGCAGCAGUGGGGAAUAUUGCACAAUGGGCGCAAGCCUGAUGCAGCCAUGCCGCGUGUGUGAAGAAGGCCUUCGGGUUGUAAAGCACUUUCAGUCGUGAGGAAGGUGGUGUAGUUAAUAGCUGCAUUAUUUGACGUUAGCGACAGAAGAAGCACCGGCUAACUCCGUGCCAGCAGCCGCGGUAAUACGGAGGGUGCGAGCGUUAAUCGGAAUUACUGGGCGUAAAGCGCAUGCAGGUGGUUUGUUAAGUCAGAUGUGAAAGCCCGGGGCUCAACCUCGGAAUAGCAUUUGAAACUGGCAGACUAGAGUACUGUAGAGGGGGGUAGAAUUUCAGGUGUAGCGGUGAAAUGCGUAGAGAUCUGAAGGAAUACCGGUGGCGAAGGCGGCCCCCUGGACAGAUACUGACACUCAGAUGCGAAAGCGUGGGGAGCAAACAGGAUUAGAUACCCUGGUAGUCCACGCCGUAAACGAUGUCUACUUGGAGGUUGUGGCCUUGAGCCGUGGCUUUCGGAGCUAACGCGUUAAGUAGACCGCCUGGGGAGUACGGUCGCAAGAUUAAAACUCAAUGAAUUGACGGGGGCCCGCACAAGCGGUGGAGCAUGUGGUUUUAUUCGAUGCAACGCGAGAACCUUACCUACUCUUGACAUCCAGAGAACUUUCCAGAGAUGGAUUGGUGCCUUCGGGAACUCUGAGACAGGUGCUGCAUGCUGUCGUCAGCUCGUGUUGUGAAAUGUUGGGUUAGUCCGCAACGGAGCGCACCUUAUCUUGUUUGCCAGCGAGUUAUGUCGGAACCUCCAGGGAGACUGCGGUGAUACCGAGUAGGUGGACGACGUCAGUCAUCAUGCCUUACAUAGUCUACCACUGCUCAAUGCGCAUACGAGGGCGUCAACUGUGCCAAGGUGCAGCGACAAU
rnacentral:rRNA from 1 species